UAACACGUGGGGAACCUGCCCCAUAGUCUGGGAUACCACUUGGAAACAGGUGCUAAUACCGGAUAAGAAAGCGGAUCGCAUGAUCAGCUUUUAAAAGGCGGCGUAAGCUGUCGCUAUGGGAUGGCCCCGCGGUGCAUUAGCUAGUUGGUAAGGUAAAGGCUUACCAAGGCGAUGAUGCAUAGCCGAGUUGAGAGGCUGAUCGGCCACAUUGGGACUGAGACACGGCCCAAACUCCUACGGGAGGCAGCAGUC
rnacentral:rRNA from 1 species